CGGUAAUUCCAGCUCAAUAGCGUAUAUUAAAGUUGUUGACAGUUAAAAGCUCGUAGUUGAAUUUCGGAUUAAUUUAUUGGUCGUGCUAUUGUACGUACUGGUAUUAUUGAUUCCUACCUUCUGACGAACCAUGAUGUCAUUAAUUUGGUGUCAUGGGGAAUCAGGACUGUUACUUUGAAAAAAUUAGAGUGUUUAAAGCAGGCUCACGCUUGAAUACAUUAGCAUGGAAUAACGAAAUAGGACGUUUGAUUCUAUUUUGUUGGUUUCUAGGAUCGACGUAAUGAUUAAUAGGGAUAGUUGGGGGCAUUAGUAUUCAAUUGUCAGAGGUGAAAUUCUUGGAUUUAUUGAAGACUAAACUACUGCGAAAGCAUUUGCCAAGGAUGUUUUCAUUAAUCAAGAACGAAAGUUAGGGGGAUCGAAGACGAUCAGAUACCGUCGUAGUCUUAACCAUAAACUAUGCCGACUAGGGAUCGGAUGAUGUUAAUUUUUUAAUGACUCAUUCGGCGCCUUACG
rnacentral:rRNA from 1 species